GUGAGGAAUAUUGCGCAAUGGAGGCAACUCUGACGCAGCCAUGCCGCGUGCAGGAAGAAGGCGCUACGCGUUGUAAACUGCUUUUAACCGGGAAGAAACCCCAGGACGUGUCCUGGGUUGACGGUACCGGAGGAAUAAGCACCGGCUAACUUCGUGCCAGCAGCCGCGGUAAUACGAAGGGUGCAAGCGUUAUCCGGAUUCAUUGGGUUUAAAGGGUGCGUAGGCGGAGCGUUAAGUCAGUGGUGAACUCCUGCAGCUUAACUGUCGACUUGCCGUUGAUACUGGAGCUCUUGAGUGCGCUUGAAGUGGGCGGAAUGUGCCGUGUAGCGGUGAAAUGCUUAGAUAUGGCACAGAACACCAAUUGCGAAGGCAGCUCACUAAGGCGAUACUGACGCUGAGGCACGAAAGCGUGGGGAUCGAACAGGAUUAGAUACCCUUGUAGUCC
rnacentral:rRNA from 1 species